rnacentral:rRNA from 1 species
CCUACGGGAGGCUGCAGUGAGGAAUAUUGGUCAAUGGACGCAAGUCUGAACCAGCCAUGCCGCGUGCAGGAAGACGGCUCUAUGAGUUGUAAACUGCUUUUGUACGAGGGUAAACGCAGAUACGCGUAUCUGUCUGAAAGUAUCGUACGAAUAAGGAUCGGCUAACUCCGUGCCAGCAGCCGCGGUAAUACGGAGGAUUCAAGCGUUAUCCGGAUUUAUUGGGUUUAAAGGGUGCGUAGGCGGUCGGAUAAGUUAGAGGUGAAAUCCCGAGGCUCAACUUCGGAAUUGCCUCGGAUACUGUGCGGCUAGAGAGUAGUAGAGGUAGGCGGAAUGUAUGGUGUAGCGGUGAAAUGCGUAGAGAUCAGACAGAACACCGAUUGCGAAGGCAGCUUACCAAGCUACAUCUGACGUUGAGGCACGAAAGCGUGGGGAGCAAACAGGAUUAGAUACCCGAGUAGUC